UGCUCUGUAUGGGUUAAGCUUUCUGAUAGUGUAUGGCGAUACUCUGUGUAUUGUGGCCAUCUUGACUGUGGUAUAUGCUGUAACACAUUUAUGCACAGCAGAUUUCUCUGUUCCCUGGAGAGGAUGCAGCUGAAGUCUUUCAUGGUGCUUCAGAGACAUAAGGGCUGGAAGUUGAUACUGAGUAAAAGCUGGAUGAAGGAGAAAGGAUCACAUCUCUCCUCUGUGUUACUGACACAGGAACUGCAGAGCAGAAAACAGGGCAAAGGAAGUGAUGGCACAUUCUGUGCUGGCAGGUUGAUCAAACUGCUCAACUUCAAAUUACAAAAAGCAGGAAGAAAGUGAAGGUGGGUACCAUUAAGCAAAGGACAUAGUGAGUCUUGGCUGUCAAAAGGAUCAAAAUAAAGCCUCUGCUUUAAAUAGGGAACAUUGCAAAUGCCUGUCUUUUAUGCUCAUUUCACAGUGUAAAUUCUUUCUUCUGAUUACUUACCACAUGUUUUUCUA